GCCAGGUGCAGUAGCACAUAACUAUAGUACCAGCUACCUGGGAGCUGAGGCAGAAAGGUGACAUGAGGCUAGGGACUGUGCGUUAUUAUGCACCAUGCCAAUUGGCUGCACCAAGUUUGGCAUCAUCAGUAUGGUGACCUCUCAGGAGUGGGGGACCACCAGGUUGCCUAAGGAGAGGUGAACUGGCCCAGGUUGGAAAUGGAGCAGGUCAGAACUCUCAUGCUGAUCAGGAGUGGAACUGCACAUGUGAAUAGCCACUGAGCUUCAGCCUGGGCAGUGUAGCAAGACCUGUCGCUA
rfam:Otolemur garnettii contig117878, whole genome shotgun sequence.